GACGAACGCUGGCGGCGUGCUUAACACAUGCAAGUCGAGCGGUAAGGCCCUUUCGGGGGUACACGAGCGGCGAACGGGUGAGUAACACGUGGGUGACCUGCCUUUAGCUCUGGGAUAAGCCUGGGAAACUGGGUCUAAUACCGGAUACGACUCCGCGGUGCAUGCUGUGGGGUGGAAAGCCUUGUGCGGCUGGAGAUGGGCCCGCGGCCUAUCAGCUUGUUGGUGGGGUGAUGGCCACCAAGGCGACGACGGGUAGCCGGCCUGAGAGGGCGACCGGCCACACUGGGACUGAGACACGGCCCAGACUCCUACGGGAGGCAGCAGUGGGGAAUCUUGCGCAAUGGCGAAAGCCUGACGCAGCGACGCCGCGUGAGGGAUGGCGGCCU
rnacentral:rRNA from 1 species